ACUGCCCAGCUGGACCCAGCAACCUCAUCUACAUCCGCAGUAGCAAAGGGGAGCAUUUUCACUACUCUAUAGAAUGAAUUCCUCCAUCGUUGUUAUAGAGAGAGACAAUCGGCUUGGUAUGUUAGAAAAAUAUGCUGACUUGGAAUCUGAGGGUGACAUGCUAACAUUGCAGCUAAGUCAUGCAAUAAGUCUCAAGUCAUCAGUAAACCCAGCAGCAGAGACCCAGUCAUAAGAAAGACCAGCUGAUAAGGAAGGGGAGACAAGGCAUGAGUGUCCUAUGAAAUGCAUGGUGCUUGGCUCUGUUUCA